AGGAGUAAGUCAUGUGUAAAUCAGGUGUAAGUCAAAUGUGAAUCAGGUGUAAGUUAGAUGUGAAUCAGGAGUAAGUCAUGUGUAAAUCAGGUGUAAAUCAGAUGUGAAUCAGGUGUACGUUAGAUGUGAAUCAGGUGUACGUUAGAUGUUAGGUGUAAGCAAUAUGUGAAUCUAGAGUAAGUCAUGUGUAAAUCAGGUGUAAGUCAAAUGUGAAUCAGGUGUAAGUUAGAUGUGAAUCAGGAGUAAGUCAUGUGUAAAUCAGGUGUAAAUCAGGUGUAAGCCAUAUGGGAAUCAGGAGUAAGUCAGG